GGGCUCGUAGCACAGCAAGGAUUAGUGCGCCGGCCUUCGGAGCCGGAGGUCCCGGGUUCAAAUCCCGGCGGGCCCGCCA
rnacentral:tRNA from 1 species